rnacentral:lncRNA from 1 species
CUAAGAAGGCUGAUUUCUGGCAGAGGCGGGGGCGCCGCUUCGGGAGAGCGGGCAGUUCUAGGAGGCCGACCUGGAGAGCCUCCCGGUUCCCCUUCCCCUUUUCCCGGACCCCGCGGGGACACCCCCUCGCCGCCACCCGGGCCUCCCCGAGGGCCCAACUGCGGGUCAGGCGGCCCGGGCCAGCCGAAAGGGAAGUGGGGCUACCCCACAGCCAGGCAGCGGGGCUGGGGUCAGACCCGGGAGCCGGAGGUUGGAGACGUGCGACAGUCACCUGCGGGCAGAUUCCAGAGGGGAGACCCAGGGCUGCAGGGGACGCCCCUUCGUGGCAGCUACCCAGCCUCGGCCCACUGCCAGUGUUACGUGGCUGCAUGACCAUACACUUCUGGGUAGAGCCCAGUGGAAGACAAAGAAGACUCAAGGAAUAGCCCUUGAGGUAAUGGAUGAGAAAGUGCUUUGUAAAUUACAAUGCUCUGACACAAGUCAAGUUCAUUCAUCCAUUCCAUAAACCUCUGCCGAGAGCCUGCUUUUGCCAGGCACAGGGCGAAGUGCUGGAAGACAGAAGUGCUGGGUGAAUCCUGCAGGGGGAGAUGGCCAAGGCAAUCGGCAUGGAGCCCCCAGGGCUCAGGAGCUAUACAGAUGGGAUAGAGGGUGUGAGUGCUGGGAAGCCCCAUCCAUGGCUCGCUGGAGAUUAGAGGCCUGUUAAUCUGAAGACAAAGGAAUGAAGACGAAAACGUUUCUGAAAAUGUGGGUGGAGACACCUGGGCCUUUACAGGGUACGCUCCAGAGCUGCUUCCAGGCAGGGACCCCGGCUGAGAGAAGCCAGAGCCAGAGAGUCGCAGGCUUGCUUGCUCUUAUCUUCCCUCUGCUGGGGGGGUCGAGGGGAGAUCUGGCCCCUCUGCUCUGCCCUCCUGAUUUCCCGUCUAAGGGAUUUAGGAGACUUUUGCCUUUUCCUAAUCUCUCCCUUUGCAGAAUUUCUGCGAAGUCACAAUCCCAUUUCCAGGCAAAGGUGCUUGGUCAUAAAGAUAAUAAAGAUAUUCAUUCAUGAUG